CACGUAGGCGGACUGAAAAGUCAGAGGUGAAAUCCCAGGGCUCAACCUUGGAACUGCCUUUGAAACUCUCAGUCUUGAGGUCGUGAGAGGUGAGUGGAAUUCCGAGUGUAGAGGUGAAAUUCGUAGAUAUUCGGAGGAACACCAGUGGCGAAGGCGGCUCACUGGCACGAUACUGACGCUGAGGUGCGAAAGCGUGGGGAGCAAACA
rnacentral:rRNA from 1 species